AGCAUAUCAAUAAGCGGAGGAAAAGAAACUAACAAGGAUUCCCCUAGUAACUGCGAGUGAAGCGGGAAAAGCUCAAAUUUAAAAUCUGGCAGUCUUUGGCUGUCCGAGUUGUAGUCUGGAGAAGCGUUUUCCGCGCUGGACCGUGUACAAGUCUCUUGGAACAGAGCGUCAUAGAGGGUGAGAAUCCCGUCUUUGACACGGACUACCAGUGCUUUGUGAUGCGCUCUCAAAGAGUCGAGUUGUUUGGGAAUGCAGCUCAAAAUGGGUGGUAAAUUCCAUCUAAAGCUAAAUAUUGGCGAGAGACCGAUAGCGAACAAGUACCGUGAGGGAAAGAUGAAAAGCACUUUGGAAAGAGAGUUAAACAGUACGUGAAAUUGCUGAAAGGGAAACGCUUGAAGUCAGUCGCGUCGUUCAGAACUCAACCUGGCUUUUGCUUGGUGCACUUUCUGUUUGACGGGCCAACAUCAGUUUUGACUGCUGGAGAAAAGCCUUUGGAAUGUGGCACCUUCGGGUGUGUUAUAGCCUUGGGUUGUAUACAGUGGUUGGGACUGAGGACCGCAGCACGCCUUCUGGCCGGGGUUCGCCCACGUACGUGCUUAGGAUGUUGGCGUAAUGGCUUUAAACGACCCGUCUUGAAACACGGACCAAGGAGUCUAACAUGCCUGCGAGUGUUUGGGUGGAAAACCCGAGCGCGUAAUGAAAGUGAAAGUUGGGAUCCCUGUCGUGGGGAGCACCGACGCCCAUACCAGACCUUCUGUGACGGAUAUGCGGUUGAGCAUGUAUGUUGGGACCCGAAAGAUGGUGAACUAUGCCUGAAUAGGGUGAAGCCAGAGGAAACUCUGGUGGAGGCUCGUAGCGAUUCUGACGUGCAAAUCGAUCGUCAAAUUUGGGUAUAGGGGCGAAAGAACUAAUCGAACCAUCUAGUAGCUGGUUCC
rnacentral:rRNA from 1 species